CCUACGGGCGGCUGCAGUGGGGAAUAUUGCACAAUGGGCGCAAGCCUGAUGCAGCCAUGCCGCGUGUGUGAAGAAGGCCUUCGGGUUGUAAAGCACUUUCAGCGGGGAGGAAGGCGUUAAGGUUAAUAACCUUGUCGAUUGACGUUACCCGCAGAAGAAGCACCGGCUAACUCCGUGCCAGCAGCCGCGGUAAUGCGGAGGGUGCAAGCGUUAAUCGGAAUUACUGGGCGUAAAGCGCACGCAGGCGGUCUGUCAAGUCGGAUGUGAAAUCCCCGGGCUCAACCUGGGAACUGCAUUCGAAACUGGCAGGCUAGAGUCUUGUAGAGGAGGGUAGAAUUCCAGGUGUAGCGGUGAAAUGCGUAGAGAUCUGGAGGAAUACCGGUGGCGAAGGCGGCCCCCUGGACAAAGACUGACGCUCAGGUGCGAAAGCGUGGGGAGCAAACAGGAUUAGAUACCCGAGUAGUC
rnacentral:rRNA from 1 species